GACGAACGCUGGCGGCGUGCUUAACACAUGCAAGUCGAACGGAAAGGCCCCCUUGUGGGGUACUCGAGUGGCGAACGGGUGAGUAACACGUGAGUAACCUACCCUUGACUUUGGGAUAACUUCAGGAAACUGGGGCUAAUACCGGAUAGGAGCUCCUGCUGCAUGGUGGGGGUUGGAAAGUUUCGGCGGUUGGGGAUGGACUCGCGGCUUAUCAGCUUGGUGGUGGGGUAGUGGCUCACCAAGGCUUUGACGGGUAGCCGGCCUGAGAGGGUGACCGGCCACAUUGGGACUGAGAUACGGCCCAGACUCCUACGGGAGGCAGCAGUGGGGAAUAUUGCACAAUGGGCGGAAGCCUGAUGCAGCAACGCCGCGUGCGGGAUGACGGCCUUCGGGUUGUAAACCGCUUUCGCCUGUGACGAAGCGUGAGUGACGGUAAUGGGUAAAGAAGCACCGGCUAACUACGUG
rnacentral:rRNA from 1 species